rnacentral:rRNA from 1 species
CGGCGGACGGGUGAGUAAUGCCUAGGAAUCUGCCUGGUAGUGGGGGACAACGUUUCGAAAGGAACGCUAUACCGCAUACGUCCUACGGGAGAAAGCAGGGGACCUUCGGGCCUUGCGCUAUCAGAUGAGCCUAGGUCGGAUUAGCUAGUUGGUGAGGUAAUGGCUCACCAAGGCGACGAUCCGUAACUGGUCUGAGAGGAUGAUCAGUCACACUGGAACUGAGACACGGUCCAGACUCCUACGGGAGGCAGCAGAU